rnacentral:rRNA from 1 species
CACGUAGGGCGCAAGCGUUGUCCGGAAUUAUUGGGCGUAAAGAGCUCGUAGGCGGUCUGUUGCGUCCGCUGUGAAAACUCGGGGCUUAACCCCGAGCCUGCAGUGGAUACGGGCAGACUAGAGGUAGGUAGGGGAGAAUGGAAUUCCCGGUGUAGCGGUGAAAUGCGCAGAUAGUCGGAGGAACACCGGUGGCGAAGGCGGUUCUCUGGGCCGUUACCUGACGCUGAGGCGCGAAAGCGUG